GAUGAACGCUGGCGGCGUGCUUAACACAUGCAAGUCGAACGGUGAAGGCGGAGCUUGCUCUGCUGGAUCAGUGGCGAACGGGUGAGUAACACGUGAGCAAUCUGCCCCUGACUCUGGGAUAAGCGCUGGAAACGGCGUCUAAUACUGGAUACGAGCUGCGAAGGCAUCUUCAGCAGCUGGAAAGAAUUUCGGUCAGGGAUGAGCUCGCGGCCUAUCAGCUUGUUGGUGAGGUAAUGGCUCACCAAGGCGUCGACGGGUAGCCGGCCUGAGAGGGUGACCGGCCACACUGGGACCGAGACACGGCCCAGACUCCUACGGGAGGCAGCAGUGGGGAAUAUUGCACAAUGGGCGAAAGCCUGAUGCAGCAACGCCGCGUGAGGGACGACGGCCUUCGGGUUGUAAACCUCUUUUAGCAGGGAAGAAGCGAAAGUGACGGUACCUGCAGAAAAAGCGCCGGCUAACUACGUG
rnacentral:rRNA from 1 species